CCUACGGGAGGCAGCAGUGGGGAAUAUUGCGCAAUGGGCGAAAGCCUGACGCAGCGACGCCGCGUGAGGGAUGAAGGUCUUCGGAUCGUAAACCUCUGUCAGCAGGGAAGAACGGUCACUGUGCUAAUCAGCAGUGAAUUGACGGUACCUGACUAAGAAGCCCCGGCUAACUACGUGCCAGCAGCCGCGGUAAUACGUAGGGGGCGAGCGUUAUCCGGAUUUACUGGGUGUAAAGGGAGCGUAGACGGUUCUGCAAGUCUGAAGUGAAAGCCCGUGGCUUAACCGCGGAACGGCUUUGGAAACUGUGGAACUGGAGUGCUGGAGAGGCAAGCGGAAUUCCUAGUGUAGCGGUGAAAUGCGUAGAUAUUAGGAGGAACACCAGUGGCGAAGGCGGCUUGCUGGACAGUAACUGACGUUGAGGCUCGAAAGCGUGGGGAGCAAACAGGAUUAGAUACCCCUGUAGUC
rnacentral:rRNA from 1 species